rnacentral:sRNA from 1 species
CAUGGCUACCACCAUCAUUCUUAUUGUAGCGGGGCGCACCACCAGAGUCUGACCAGGCUCGGGAACGGUGGUGCGCGGUCCAAGGUCCCUUUCGGGGCCUUUUUUUAUUGCCCGC